rnacentral:rRNA from 1 species
GACGAACGCUGGCGGCGUGCUUAACACAUGCAAGUCGAACGAUGACGACCGAGCUUGCUCGGUCUGAUUAGUGGCGAACGGGUGAGUAACACGUGAGCAACCUGCCCUUCACUCUGGGAUAACCUCGGGAAAUCGGGGCUAAUACCGGAUAUGAGCUCCUGUCGCAUGGCGGGUGUUGGAAAGUUUUUCGGUGAAGGAUGGGCUCGCGGCCUAUCAGUUUGUUUGUGCGGUAGUGGCUCACCAAGGCGAUGACGGGUAGCCGGCCUGAGAGGGCGACCGGCCACACUGGGACUGAGACACGGCCCAGACUCCUACGGGAGGCAGCAGUGGGGAAUAUUGCACAAUGGGCGAAAGCCUGAUGCAGCGACGCCGCGUGAGGGAUGACGGCCUUCGGGUUGUAAACCUCUUUCAGCAGGGAAGAAGCGAAAGUGACGGUACCUGCAGAAGAAGCGCCGGCUAACUACGUG